GGCCACUAGGGGCUUACCCUGGAAGGUUUAUCCUAUCCUGGCCCCACCCCUUCUCUCUCUCUCUCUGCUUCUGGACUACACUGAGCUGAGUGGUUUCUUCUACCACACUGUCUGCCAUGAUGUUCAGACCCAGAGCAAUGGAGCUGGUCAACCAUGGACCGAAACUUCUGGAACCGAGAGCCAACAUAACAAGGUCUUCUUCUGAGUUUGUGAUUUCAGCAUUUUGUGCCACAUCAGAAUAACUCUCAUCUACAAACUUCUGGAAGGCAGUAUUUUGAAACUCAAAGGACUUUGCAGCCUGUGGAAAUUUGUCCGUUUAAAACCAAUGACACCAGAUGGUCCCCUACCAAAUCAAUAGUUACUCUGACUGGCGCUAACAAUCUUCGCAAC